rnacentral:misc_RNA from 1 species
GUUCAGAAGUCACAAAUAGGAUAAGGAUUUGAACCAUUUCUAAAGUAACCAUGGCAACUUGAUUAUCAACAGUCAAACAGAAAGCUACAACAGAUUUAGAGUUCUAGCUAUGCUUCAAUUCCCUUUACAGAAGGUCAUAUCCCAAACCACAUUAAAUCCAAAAAUGAUCAUCAUGGACAAUAUGAGGAGCAUUACAUAAUAAGAAACCCCAGGUAAAAGGAAUAUACAGGUUAAAUUGAAUACUGCUAGAGCCUACACAGGAAGAAGAGGGAAUACAACUUAGAAGGUCUAAACUGUAUAGUCAUUAACAAGCCACAAGGACCAAAAUUGCUAAUUUUUAAAUUUCAGGGACUAAAUUGUAUAGUACAGCAGACUUCAACACUUUAGUAAUUUACCCAAAUAAAAACUGUGCAAUAAUUGGGCAGAACAUAGAAAGCAAUAAUGAUUCACAAGAAUCAAAUAACAAAUAUGAAAAAGGCACAUCCUUUCCCUACAAACUCUAUACAAACCAAUAUUUAUGUAAAAUUUAUAGAAUGCAAACAGAAACCUUCGCUUUGAAAUUGUUUUUAGUGUCAUCCUGCCACUUCAGCAAGCCUUCCACUAUACUCCCCAAGUGGAUCUGCAGUCCCUCGGACUGUGAUUUUGCCACCAGUACCUUUAACAAACCUAAAUUAGCUUUAAUGAUUUCACGGUUCUUCCUUUUAAGGAGGAGAAA